GACGAACGCUGGCGGCGUGCUUAACACAUGCAAGUCGAACGGAAAGGCCCUGCUUUUGUGGGGUGCUCGAGUGGCGAACGGGUGAGUAACACGUGAGUAACCUGCCCUUGACUUUGGGAUAACUUCAGGAAACUGGGGCUAAUACCGGAUAGGAGCUCCUGCUGCAUGGUGGGGGUUGGAAAGUUUCGGCGGUUGGGGAUGGACUCGCGGCUUAUCAGCUUGUUGGUGGGGUAGUGGCUUACCAAGGCUUUGACGGGUAGCCGGCCUGGGAGGGUGACCGGCCACAUUGGGACUGAUAUACGGCCCAGACUCCUACGGGAGGCAGCAGUGGGAAAUAUUGCACAAUGGGCGGAAGCCUGAUGCAGCAACGCCGCGUGCGGGAUGACGGCCUUCGGGUUGUAAACCGCUUUCGCCUGUGACGAAGCGUGGGUGACGGUAAUGGGUAAAGAAGCACCGGCUAACUACGUG
rnacentral:rRNA from 1 species